rnacentral:pre_miRNA from 1 species
UGAUGAUGAUGAUGAUGAUGAUGAUGAUGAUGAUGAUUAUGAUGAUGAUGAUGAUGAUGAUGAUGAUGACCAUCAGCAUUAUCAUCAUCAUCAUCU